UCGAUACUCCCUCCGUCCUAAAAAGGAUGUCGCAAAAUUUUCAAAAUAUGGAUGCAUCUAGACAUGUUUUAGUGUCUAGAUAUAUCCAAAUUUAAACAAAUUCCAGACAUUCUUUUUGGGACGGAGGAAGUACGUG
rfam:Brachypodium distachyon strain Bd21 chromosome 1, whole genome shotgun sequence.